rnacentral:miRNA from 1 species
CCAUCUUACUAGUCUUUCUUU